rnacentral:lncRNA from 1 species
CAUAAUUUCCCAUGUUGGUCAUCUUGUUUUUGUAGGGUCAGCACACUGAAACUUCUCUAGUAGGUGCUGAGUACCUAUAAAGGUGCCACCGAACUUGAUGUAGUUUAAACGGCUCUGGAAGGACUACGGAGAGAAUUUCUAUUGUCCUCCUUUGUAUUACUGAAGCUAAAUCCAAGUAGUGAGCAGGGAUCUUGAAUCCAGUUGUGUUUACUGCAAUCAGUACAUAUUUUUACUCAAAAAUAGACAUGGAUGACCACAUAAGGAUGAUGAAUGCAGGAGACUCACAGCCUACAGGAGAUGUUAUCUCUUCCAACCUUGCUAUUGAGUCACAAGAACCCACAAAAGGGAAUAAAAAGAGACUCUGUAUCUCUAAAAUUGUCACCAUUGUCAUCUUCUUUCUGGUGAUUCUAAUAACUACACUGGCCACAAUCUUAGCAGGAUUUCCUGAAGCGAUAUUCUGACCAUUCUCAAUAUUGGGUUGGACUGAGCCGAAAACCAGGACAGACCUGGAAGUGGAUAGAUGGAACCACGUACAGUGGUUGGUUUAAAAUAAUUGGAAUUGGAGAAUGUGCCUAUCUGCACAAAAUUGGAAUUAGCAGCGCCAGUACCCAUUUGGUCAGAAAAUGGAUUUGCAGCAAACCAGACACACAUAUAUCAGGAAGUUAAGACAUCAUAGAUUUAAGAUGUUUUGCACAAAUGUAGUUUUUAUUCGUUUUAAAAGAUAUAGAACACAUUAAUGUAAAAGUACAUGAAAUUCAUGCUUAAUAAUUUUCAUUGAUGUUUCACUCUAAAUCUCUAAAUUCACUUUUUAUGAGUCUAUUAGAUUCUUGGCAUUCAAGAAGUAUAUGCC